GACGAACGCUGGCGGCGUGCUUAACACAUGCAAGUCGAACGGAAAGGCCCUGCUUUUGUGGGGUGCUCGAUUGGCGAACGGGUGAGUAACACGUGAGUAACCUGCCCUUGACUUUGGGAUAACUUCAGGAAACUGGGGCUCAUACCGGAUAGGAGCUCCUGCUGCAUGUUGGGGGUUGGAAAGUUUCGGCGGUUGUGGAUGGACUCGCGGCUUAUCAGCUUGUUUGUGGGGUAGUGGUUUACCAAGGCUUUGACGGGUAGCCGGCCUGAGAGGGUGACCGGCCACCAUGGGACUGAGAUACGGCCCAGACUCCUACGGGAGGCAGCAGGGGGGAAUAUUGCACAAUGGGCGGAAGCCUGAUGCAGCAACGCCGCGUGCGGGAUGACGGCCUUCGGGUUGUAAACCGCUUUCGCCUGUGACGAAGCGUGAGUGACGGUAAUGGGUAAAGAAGCACCGGCUAACUACGUG
rnacentral:rRNA from 1 species